GGAAGCGUGGCAGAGCGGCAAUGGAGCGUCUUGCUACGGCGUAGCGCCUCACGGCGUCGCGGGUUCGAUCCCCGCCGCUUCCG
rnacentral:tRNA from 1 species